AGCUUUGCACAGUGGCAGUAUCAUAGCUAAUGCAGUUAAUCCGAGGCAUGAUUAUUGCUAAUUGCAAACUUUUCCCAAUAGCCUGCCAUGACAACUUGGAAUACACAGACACACACAUGU